rnacentral:tRNA from 1 species
AUGCUGGAAGUAUAUUAUGUUACAACUGCCUUCCAAGCAGGAAGCCCAAACCUGGUCAGCAUA